rnacentral:rRNA from 1 species
AUUGAACGCUGGCGGCAUGCCUUACACAUGCAAGUCGAACGGUAACAGGUCUUCGGAUGCUGACGAGUGGCGAACGGGUGAGUAAUACAUCGGAACGUGCCUAGUAGUGGGGGAUAACUACUCGAAAGAGUGGCUAAUACCGCAUGAGAUCUACGGAUGAAAGCAGGGGAUCGCAAGACCUUGUGCUACUAGAGCGGCCGAUGGCAGAUUAGGUAGUUGGUGGGAUAAAAGCUUACCAAGCCGACGAUCUGUAGCUGGUCUGAGAGGACGAUCAGCCACACGGGGACUGAGACACGGCCCAGACUCCUACGGGAGGCAGCAGUGGGGAAUUUUGGACAAGGGGCGCAAGCCUGAGCCAGCAAUGCCGCGUGCAGGAUGAAGGCCUUCGGGUUGUAAACUGCUUUUGUACGGAACGAAAAGCCCCGGGUUAAUACCCUGGGGUCAUGACGGUACCGUAAGAAUAAGCACCGGCUAACUACGUGCCAGCCGCCGCCGUAA